AAUUCUUAAAUCAGGUGAGGUGUUUCAUCUUUCAAAAAUCAGAAAUAUUUCCUUUGUCUCCAAUCUCAUUCUCUCUCCAUCUACACGUUUUCUCUUUCUUCCACACAAAUUUAUUCUCUUUCCAGUCUCAUUCUCUAUCCAUUAUUUCUCUUGCCAUUUUAUCUCUCCCCCUUCUUCUUCUCUUAGAUCACCUCCAAUCUCCUUUUCUCUCCAUUAUUUCUCCUGCCAUUUUCUCCCUCUCUCUUCGUCUUCUCUCAGAUCGCCCUCCCCAACUACCCCAACUGAGAAUGAGCUAAUCAGCUAGAAAUCUAAGAUCAGAAAUCAAAUAUGGCACCGAGCUAACCAUUCACGGCAUUGAUCUGUGGCGAUUGUGGAUCUAUGACGGAGUUCGUUGCAACGUUGCCGAUCGAUCUGUGGUGUUGCUGUGCAGCAGGGACUGUGGUGUUGGUGUGCGAUGGCGACUGUGGUGGCGUUGACUUGGCGUCUUCGUCCAUUAUCUGUUUAUAAAUGAUUCCAAAUGAUCUUUUUCCCCCUGAUAUGUAGCUUGGCAAGUCCAGGAGGAAUGAAAAUGUGGGGAGCAUCGGGGUAGCUCUCUUCGCCGACCGAUCUGCAAAUUUGUGGAGGCGUGUGGUUUUGGCCAGAGUUUUGUUGGUUGCGAUAUGGGGAAAGUUUGGUCACGAUCUGGUUGCUAUCCAGUGGUAGAUGUGGUGUUUGCGAUGCUAUGAGGUUCAGGUGGAUUGGCGGUGGUCAUGACGGUUUAGUUGGUGGUAUUUUAGAUUGUUUAGUUGAUUUUGUGACAAAUAAUUUGACCCGUAACCUAAAAAUUGGGAUUCACAGUUGGUGGUUAUGGUGGUCAUGGCGGUAGUCGUGGCGGUUUGGUUGAUUUGUGACUAAUAAUUG
rnacentral:lncRNA from 1 species